UACGGAGGGAGCUAGCGUUGUUCGGAAUUACUGGGCGUAAAGCGUGCGCAGGCGGUGAGCUGUGUCCGAUGUGAAAGCCCCGGGCUUAACCUGGGAAUGGCAUUGGAAACUGGCUCGCUGGAGUGUGGCAGAGGGGGGUGGAAUUCCGCGUGUAGCAGUGGAAUGCGUAGAGAUGCGGAGGAACACCGAUGGCGAAGGCAGCCCCCUGGGCUAACACUGACGCUCAGGCACGGAAGCGUGGGGAGCAAACAGG
rnacentral:rRNA from 1 species